rnacentral:lncRNA from 1 species
CAAUGAGUUCAAGGCUCUCUCCCACUUUCUCUUCUGUUAGAUUCAGUGUAUCUGGUUUUAUGUUGAGGUCCUUGGACCUUCAAAGAAGACCUAAUACCAAUAUUCCUCAAACUAUUCCAUAAAAUAGAGACAGAAGGAACACUACCUAAUUCAUUCUAUGAAGCCACAAUUACUGAUACCUAAACCACACAAGGACCCUACCAAACAAGAGAACUUCAGACCAAUCUCAGGAAUAUCAAUGCAAAAAUAGUCAAUAAAAUUCUUGCAAGCCAAAUUUAAGAACACAUCAAAACAAUCAUUCAUCACAAUCAAGUAGGUUUCAUCCCAAGGAUGCAAGGUUGAUUCAAUAUACGAAAAUCCAUUAAUGUAAUCCACUAUAUAGACAAAGAAAAAAAAUCACAUGAUCUUCUUAGAUGCAGAAAAAGCAUUUGAUAAGGUAUGAUAUACCUUAAUGUUAAAAGUAUUGGAGAGAUCAGGAAUUCAAGGCCCAUACCUAAACAUAGUUUGCAAACAUGGUUUUGCAAUUUACUGCAAACCAACAGCCAAUAUCAAAUUAAAAGGAGAGAUUAGGGGUUGGGGAUUUAGCUCAGUAGUAGAGCGCUUGCCUAGCAAACGCAAGGCCCUGGGUUCAGUCCCCAGCUCCGAAAAAAAAAAAAAAAAA